rnacentral:rRNA from 1 species
AUUAGAUAAAAAACCAAUGCCCUUCGGGGCUCAGUGGUGAUUCAUAAUAACUUAACGAAUCGCAUGGCCUUGCGCCGGCGAUGGUUCAUUCAAAUUUCUGCCCUAUCAACUUUCGAUGGUAGGAUAGUGGCCUACCAUGGUGGCAACGGGUAACGGGGAAUUAGGGUUCGAUUCCGGAGAGGGAGCCUGAGAAACGGCUACCACAUCCAAGGAAGGCAGCAGGCGCGCAAAUUACCCAAUCCCGAUACGGGGAGGUAGUGACAAUAAAUACUGAUACAGGGCUCUUUUGGGUCUUGUAAUUGGAAUGAGUACAAUCUAAAUCCCUUAACGAGGAACAAUUGGAGGGCAAGUCUGGUGCCAGCAGCCGCGGUAAUUCCAGCUCCAAUAGCGUAUAUUAAAGUUGUUGCAGUUAAAAGGCUCGUAGUUGAACCUUGGGUCUGGCUGGCCGGUCCGCCUCACCGCGAGUACUGGUCCGGCUGGAUCUUUCCUUCUGGGGAACCCAUGGCCUUCACUGGC